rnacentral:rRNA from 1 species
AUUAAACGCUGGCGGCAUGCCUUACACAUGCAAGUCGAACGGCAGCACGGGGGCAACCCUGGUGGCGAGUGGCGAACGGGUGAGUAAAGCAUCGGAACGUGCCCUGGAGUGGGGGAUAACGUAGCGAAAGUUACGCUAAUACCGCAUAUUCUGUGAGCAGGAAAGCAGGGGAUCGCAAGACCUUGCGCUUUGGGAGCGGCCGAUGUCGGAUUAGCUAGUUGGUGGGGUAAAGGCCUACCAAGGCGACGAUCCGUAGCGGGUCUGAGAGGAUGAUCCGCCACACUGGGACUGAGACACGGCCCAGACUCCUACGGGAGGCAGCAGUGGGGAAUUUUGGACAAUGGGCGCAAGCCUGAUCCAGCCAUGCCGCGUGAGUGAAGAAGGCCUUC